GUAAUAUUAGGUUACUAGGGAGCUUUCAUGUCCAAACAAACUUUUAAGGCAGGUUUUGGAUCAAACGCAUUGUUUGUUAUGCUGGUUGUCCUGAUAGCAAUCACUAAGUAGGUCCAAAUAUAUUUAUUAUAUCAUCUGUGGAAGGCGGACCAUAAAAAGUUCAUCCAAUCACAUCGCUCGGUCCGAGGGUUAUGAUAGGCUGUCCUACCUGACUGUCAAGGUGUUACGUCGCGCAUCCUAUUCGCGCAGAUGUCAUACGUCAUCAACGCGUUGCCGCUGUUCAGAUCGAGCGACAAUGGAAGGCAAACAGGAGCUCGCCAAAAACAUUAAAUUGGAAAAAGAAGAGCAGCAAUGUCCUCAUGUCGCUUCUGAACCGACAAGAAGUGGCGCAGGCAAACGCUCGAGAAGAAAGACAGUCUAUGAAAAAGCUAUGACGAAAAGACGACUGGAGCAGGAAAGAGCUAAAACCCGAGUUACCAUCGGCGCUGCUUUUCCCCGCUGGAGACAACUGCGAGAGUCAAAGUGUCUGCAAACCGAUGCCAUGGUUGCACUUUUUCUUCUGGACAGUUAUGAGAAAAGUACAACAUCCACACCUUUGCUGCAUGAAUUCAUAAAGCCACCACCAGAGGUUUCUACCGUUUUUUCCGAGUCUUCCUAUGAACAGCCUGAAAUCAAGUUUCUCAUUAAGGAGGAAGAGGAGGAGAAACCUGCCUGUAAAAUUGAGAGUUUAUGAGGAGACAGAGUAUUAUGCUUCUGUUGGCACUUAGUGAGCAUCAUCUCUGGGAUGCAGCUGUGUGUUUAUGAAGAGUAACAAAUCCAUGAAUGAUAUUCCUCCUGUUCUCAGUGACGGAGCUGCUGUGAACUCUGACUCUCUGUGAGUAUCAUGUAGCUCAAGGCCCAGACUCUGUUGGUGCCUUCAGUGAAAUAUUAUAUUGGUGCACUUUAAAUAAAUUGAACUUCAAUUUACUGCGAAAACA
ensembl:lncRNA